rnacentral:rRNA from 1 species
UUCCGGUUGAUCCUGCCGGACCCCACUGCUAUCGGGAUAGGACUAAGACAUGCUAGUCAAGCGCUCGCCAGCCAAAGGUGAGUGCGGCGUACAGCUCAGUAACACGUGGCUAACCUGCCCUUGGGACGGGGACACCCCCGGGAAACUGGGGUUAAUCCCAGAUAGGCGGAGAACUCUGGAAUGAAUCUCCACCCAAAAGGCGCUUGCGCUAUGCUUGUAGGUGUCGCCCAAGGAUGGGGCCGCGACCGAUCAGGUUGUUGGUGAGGUAAUGGCUCACCAAGCCUUUUACCGGUGCGGGCCGUGGGAGCGGGAGCCCGGAGAUGGGCACUGAGACAAGGGCCCAGGCCCUACGGGGCGCAGCAGUCGCGAAAACUUUGCAAUACACGAAAGUGUGACAGGGCUAUCCCGAGUGCCAUCCGCUGAGGAAGGCUUUUACCCAGUUUAGAACGCUGGGAGAAUAAGGAGAGGGCAAGACUGGUGUCAGCCGCCGCGGUAAUACCAGCUCUCCGAGUGGUGUGGAUGUUUAUUGGGCCUAAAGCAUCCGUAGCUGGCUGGGAAAGUCCCCUGUUAAAUCCACCGAUUUAAUCGUUGGAGUGCGGGGGAUACUGCUCGGCUAGGGGACGGGAGAGGCAGACGGUAUUUCCGGGGUAGGGGUGAAAUCCUAUAAUCCCGGGAAGACCACCAGUGGCGAAGGCUGUCUGCUAGAACGUGCCCGACGGUGAGGGAUGAAAGCUGGGGGAGCGAACCGGAUUAGAUACCCGGGUAGUCCCAGCUGUAAACGAUGCAGGCUAGGUGUUUGGGCGGCCACGUGCCGCUCUAGUGCCGCAGGGAAGCCGUUAAGCCUGCCGCCUGGGGAGUACGGCCGCAAGGCUGAAACUUAAAGGAAUUGGCGGGGGAGCACCACAAGGGGUGAAGCUUGCGGUUUAAUUGGAUUCAACGCCGGG